rnacentral:misc_RNA from 1 species
AACUGAUACUACCUGCGGGAACCUGCGGAAGGAUCAUUAUUGAAUUAUGUUUCUAAAUGGGUCGUAGCUGGCUCGUCAGAGCAUGUGCACGCCUGUUUGGACUUCAUUUUCAUCCACCUGUGCACCUAUUGUAGUCUUUGGUUGGGUAUCGAGGAAGUGGUCAGCCUAUCAGCACUUGCUGGAUGUGAGGACUUGCAGUGUGAAAGCUUUGCUGUCCUUUACUUGAUCAUGGAGCUGUUU